rnacentral:rRNA from 1 species
GAUGAACGCUGGCGGCGUGCCUAAUACAUGCAAGUCGAGCGAACGGACGAGAAGCUUGCUUCUCUGAUGUUAGCGGCGGACGGGUGAGUAACACGUGGAUAACCUACCAUAAGACUGGGAUAACUUCGGGAAACCGGAGCUAAUACCGGAUAAUAUUUUGAACCGCAUGGUUCAAAAGUGAAAGACGGUCUUGCUGUCACUUAUAGAUGGAUCCGCGCUGCAUUAGCUAGUUGGUAAGGUAACGGCUUACCAAGGCAACGAUGCAUAGCCGACCUGAGAGGGUGAUCGGCCACACUGGAACUGAGACACGGUCCAGACUCCUACGGGAGGCAGCAGUAGGGAAUCUUCCGCAAUGGGCGAAAGCCUGACGGAGCAACGCCGCGUGAGUGAUGAAGGUCUUCGGAUCGUAAAACUCUGUUAUUAGGGAAGAACAUAUGUGUAAGUAACUGUGCACAUCUUGACGGUACCUAAUCAGAAAGCCACGGCUAACUACGUG